GCUGGGAGUCUGCUGUUUGUACAGCCGGUGGGCUCGUGUUGCUUUGGGCAUCCCUGUGCCUGAAUUCCUGCAGUACACUCGGUGUGCAUUCCAUGGUGCAUCCUCGCCUAGAAUUGAGUGGAAGCAAGUCCAUCUCAGAAGGGACAUACCUGAAGAGAAAUGGCUUUCCAGACUCUGAAGGGCAGAGAAAGCACCAGCCUGGGUUAGAGAAAGAGAACAGCAUCUCUGAGCCCGUCCUGGGUGACCUCACAGAGAUCACCGUAG